GACGAACGCUGGCGGCGUGCCUAAUACAUGCAAGUCGAACGCUUCUUUCCUCCCGAGUGCUUGCACUCCAUUGGAAAGAGGAGUGGCGGACGGGUGAGUAACACGUGGGUAACCUACCCAUCAGAGGGGGAUGACACUUGGAAACAGGUGCUAAUACCGCAUAACAGUUUAUGCCGCAUGGCAUAAGAGUGAAAGGCGCUUUCGGGUGUCGCUGAUGGAUGGACCCGCGGUGCAUUAGCUAGUUGGUGAGGUAACGGCUCACCAAGGCCACGAUGCAUAGACGACCUGAGAGGGUGAUCGGCCACACUGGGACUGAGACACGGCCCAGACUCCUACGGGAGGCAGCAGUAGGGAAUCUUCGGCAAUGGACGAAAGUCUGACCGAGCAACGCCGCGUGAGUGAAGAAGGUUUUCGGAUCGUAAAACUCUGUUGUUAGAGAAGAACAAGGACGUUAGUAACUGAACGUCCCCUGACGGUAUCUAACCAGAAAGCCACGGCUAACUACGUG
rnacentral:rRNA from 1 species